AAACUUGAUCUUUUACGCAUUCAUGAAAAUUCUGGCAAUAUACGUUGGUCCAUAUAGGCUAAGUAUCCAUUUUUUCUCAUUGCCUUCAUUUGUUCAUUCUGCUUUAGACUAUUGUGGCAGCAGGUACAGUACCGAUGCUUCAGACUAUUCUACAAAGUUAACUUUCAUCACCAUACACAGGUAUGCACAGUCGGUUGCCAUCUUCUUAUGCUUGUAAGCUGAGUCAUGUAAUCAGGUUGAUGCAUAGUGGUACUACCUUAGAUACAACCUGUAUUGUAUGCAUAAAAUUGAAAUAGGUGUACAUGUUAAGCAUCAUCUGUAUGGGUACAUACAUCACGUACAAGUUUAAAGUUGAAUGCAUCAAGCAAGCAAUCGGAUCAAUUAUAUAGUGUUGUUAACAUUACGUACAUAUAAUUUGGAUCCAAUUAUUAAGAUUUUUUUGUUAUGAACUUUUCAAGUUUAUAAAGUUGGAGACAUCAGAGACAUCAAAUAAUCUUACUACACAUGGUCGAAGAACAAGGAGGCUGCUGGCCCCACCGGUAACGGGAUUCAUUAGACAGAAGAACUAUUUUUGCUUGAUUUAGGCUGCUGGCCGACCUGGGUGGCGAUGAGCGGCGGAAGAAGGGGAGAAACACGCUUAUGAUGAAGGGUCCGCAUGGGUCAAGGAUCACCAGAAGGUACACCGUGUCAUAACAAAUCGAGUGAACUUGAGAAACCAAUCCGUGGGUAUGUAGAAAAGCUGGGGG